UACGUAGGGGGCAAGCGUUGUCCGGAAUCAUUGGGCGUAAAGCGCGUGUAGGCGGCCCGGUAAGUCCGCUGUGAAAGUCGGGGGCUCAACCCUCGGAUGCCGGUGGAUACUGUCGGGCUAGAGUGCGGGAGAGGCGAGUGGAAUUCCUGGUGUAGCGGUGAAAUGCGCAGAUAUCAGGAGGAACACCGGUGGCGAAGGCGGAUCUCUGGGCCGUAACUGACGCUGAGGAGCGAAAGCAUGGGGAGCGAACAGG
rnacentral:rRNA from 1 species